AGAGUUUGAUCCUGGCUCAGGAUGAACGCUGGCGGCGUGCCUAAUACAUGCAAGUCGAACGAAGAUCCAGCUUGCUGGAUCUUAGUGGCGAACGGGUGAGUAAUACAUAAAUAAUCUGCCCAUUGGACUGGGAUAACUGUUGGAAACGAUAGCUAAUACCGGAUAGGUGAUUUGAAGGCAUCUUCGAAUCAUUAAAGUAGGGUCACUACACCAAUGGAUGAGUUUAUGGCGCAUUAGUUAGUUGGCGGGGUAACGGCCCACCAAGACGAUGAUGCGUAGCCGACCUGAGAGGGUGACCGGCCACACUGGAACUGAGACACGGUCCAGACUCCUACGGGAGGCAGCAGUGAGGAAUUUUCUGCAAUGGGCGAAAGCCUGACAGAGCAAUACCGCGUGAGGGAUGAAGACUUACUGAGUUGUAAACCUCGGUACCUUAAGGAAGAAGAUAUGACGGUACUUAAGGUGGAAAGCAUCGGCUAACUCCGUGCCAGCAGCCGCGGUAAGACGGGGGAUGCAAGUGUUAUCCGGAAUUACUGGGCGUAAAGCGUCUGCAGGUGGUUUCUUAAGUCUACUGUUAAAUCUUGAGGCUCAACCUCAAAUCUGCAGUAGGAACUAGGAGACUUGAGUAUAGUAGGGGUAGAGGGAAUUUCCAGUGGAGCGGUGAAAUGCGUAGAUAUUGGAAAGAACACCGAUGGCGAAGGCACUCUACUGGGCUAUUACUGACACUCAGAGACGAAAGCUAGGGGAGCAAAUGGGAUUAGAUACCCCAGUAGUCCUAGCCGUAAACGAUGGAUACUCGAUGUUGGACGUAUCGACCCGUUCAGUAUCUUAGCUAACGCGUUAAGUAUCCCGCCUGGGGAGUACGCUCGCAAGAGUGAAACUCAAAAGAAUUGACGGGGGCCCGCCCGAGCGGUGGAGGAUGUGGUUUAAUUCGAUGCAACGCGAAGAACCUUACCAGGGUUUGCUAGAAGUGUUGGUUUCCUGAAAAGGAUUCCUUAUUCCGCUUCUACAGGUGGUGCAUGGCUGUCGUCAGCUCGUGUCGUGAGAUGUUGGGUUAAGCCCCGCAACGAGCGCAACCCCUAUUUUUAGUUCUAUUGUCUAAAAAGACUGCCGGUGAUAAACCGGAGGAAGGUGAGGACGACGUCAAGUCAUCAUGCCCCCUACACCCUGGGCUACACACGUCCUACAAUGGGUAAGACAAUAAGUUGCAAAUCCGCGAGGACAAGCUAAUCUUUCAAACUUACUCCAAGUACAGAUUGCAGGCUGCAACUCGCCUGCAUGAAGGUGGAAUCGCUAGUAAUCGCUGGUCAGCUACACAGCGGCGAAAAAGUUCCCGGGC
rnacentral:rRNA from 1 species